GAUUCAAUGGGGUCUUGCUGUUUCUGCUGAAUCGUGCUGAUUCAUGUUGUUUGGUGUUGGCAUUUGGACUGGACUGCUGGUACCUGGACAAUGAAGAGUGGACUUGUCCCAAGGAAGCUGCAGCAGAUGUGGGCUAAGCCUGGAAAACCAGAAAGGGGCCAGAGAGCGGAAGAAAAGGCGCUGUCAGAGCGGGCAGAGGUGCUAAGACCCAGAGAGGGCAAGUAGGAUGACACAGCAGGGCACUGGGGCCCAUAGGGCACACGUGGUCACACGCUUGUGAUUUGCUAAGAAGGCACUGUCAAUGGAUAAGGCAGGU